rnacentral:rRNA from 1 species
GACGAACGCUGGCGGCGUGCCUAAUACAUGCAAGUAGAACGCUGAAGAGAGGAGCUUGCUCUUCUUGGAUGAGUUGCGAACGGGUGAGUAACGCGUAGGUAACCUGCCUUGUAGCGGGGGAUAACUAUUGGAAACGAUAGCUAAUACCGCAUAACAAUGGAUGACACAUGUCAUUUAUUUGAAAGGGGCAAUUGCUCCACUACAAGAUGGACCUGCGUUGUAUUAGCUAGUAGGUGAGGUAACGGCUCACCAAGGCGACGAUACAUAGCCGACCUGAGAGGGUGAUCGGCCACACUGGGACUGAGACACGGCCCAGACUCCUACGGGAGGCAGCAGUAGGGAAUCUUCGGCAAUGGACGGAAGUCUGACCGAGCAACGCCGCGUGAGUGAAGAAGGUUUUCGGAUCGUAAAGCUCUGUUGUAAGAGAAGAACGAGUGUGAGAGUGGAAAGUUCACACUGUGACGGUAUCUUACCAGAAAGGGACGGCUAACUACGUGCCAGCAGCCGCGGUAAUACGUAGGUCCCGAGCGUUGUCCGGAUUUAUUGGGCGUAAAGCGAGCGCAGGCGGUUAGAUAAGUCUGAAGUUAAAGGCUGUGGCUUAACCAUAGUACGCUUUGGAAACUGUUUAACUUGAGUGCAAGAGGGGAGAGUGGAAUUCCAUGUGUAGCGGUGAAAUGCGUAGAUAUAUGGAGGAACACCGGUGGCGAAAGCGGCUCUCUGGCUUGUAACUGACGCUGAGGCUCGAAAGCGUGGGGAGCAAACAGG